AGCUGAUGACAGUAGAGCCAUUCAGAUGGCUGGGUUCACACUAAAAUGCAAGAAGGCCCGAGAGUGGUUUAAGAACUAUGUGAACCCGAGGUUGGACAGCCUAUCAUGGGAGGAGUUUGCAAAUGAGUUUGCGGGAUGGGCUUUCCUUGACAGUUCAAGAGAAUUGAAGAUGAUUGAGUUCGAGCAGCUGAGGCAGACGGAUGAGAUGAGUGUGGAUGAGUUCACAGACAGGUUUUUGGAGCUGUUGCCGUUUGCCGGGCAAAAUCUGAAUACAGAUCAGAAAAAGUCAAGGAGGUAUAUCAUGAAGCUCCAUUCCAGGUAUUCCUCCUUGAUUCAGUCAGCAGAGAGGGAGAGUUUCCAUGCCAUAGUGGAUAU
rnacentral:lncRNA from 1 species